CUCCUAAUCCAACCUAAAAGGAAGUUCUACACCCAUCAAUUUAACCGCAAAAGCUACAAAUCAAAACCCCCAAAUAAAACCCUAAAUUUCUCAUUCUAGAUUUUCCUCACAAAAAUUCACAAGAAAUAUGAUCUAAAGAGAAGAUCACGGUUACUAACCUCUCUUGAAGCUCCAAACCAAGCUAGGAGUGAGCUAAGGUUAGAAAUCUUUCCUCGAACAAGCUCCAAUCCAAGCUCCAAGGCUUCUCCAAUGGUGGGAGAACCACCAACAUGCAAAGAGAAGCAA
rnacentral:lncRNA from 1 species